UGGGAAGAGGAUGAUUGAAGCAUGUUGUAUGUAAACUAUUUUUUUCAUGUCAUUAUAACAUUUUCUACAUACGUUUUGUUGCAAAGGUGUAUCAUUGAGGACUUCGUAAAAGCUUCAUUUCUUUAAAAAUAGUUCCAUUUGGUGGAGUCAAUUUCUUCCACAUAAAUAGGAGAAACAGAUAAUGAGAGGCGCAAAUCUGUUCGGUUCAGAAGAAACAGUCGAAGAGAAGGAAGUGCUCGUCACGUGAUCCAACAUCAUUCGUGGCUGGUGUAGAACAUGGUUAAAAUUUGUCCUUUUCAAAUUAAUGAUUUAAUAUUUUUCAAACUCUAUCCGAGUAUCCUUCAUUGCUGCGUCUAGAUUUUUUACAUCAUUUUCUUGAUCAUUUUCUUAUCCAAGAAUCUCCAAAGGACAUAUACAAAGAAAACAAAACAGAAAACCAACGCGAAAAGAAGUUAAGCUUUGCAAGCAAAUUUAAUUGAAAUCCAUUUUCCUGUUUGCUGAUGUUUCUUUUCCUACUUUCCAAUCGGUUUAAUUGAAGCAAUCGCAAAGGGGGUAAAUAUUGAUCUUUCUCCUCUUCUUGUGCUGCUUGUUUGCCAUUGCCAAUACGACAAGGACAAAGUCAAACUGUUGACUUCAGCGGCAAAUUUAAUCUUCGCUAAUGACGUAGCAAACUCGUCCCGCCUCGUUGGCUGUACGAUGAUGACGACGGGGACGUGCUGUUACUACUACUACUACUACUACUGGUUGGAAAACUUAAUGUUUUCCCUCCCCAUUUCAUCUUGAAUCUAUCAUCAUCUUCCACUGGCUAGAGUUGGGGUGUGACACUUCAUCGGAUGGAUGCUUCCGCUGCCACCCAGUCUCGUGACCAAUUGCCAUCGAUUUUCUAGUGUCUUUUCUUGCGCGAACUUGUUCAACAUUCCGAUCCGGUGUGCCGGAAGGGUCAUAUGAUGCUUUCCUGUGCUUUCAAUCACACAAAGAUGAUGUGAUGUAGCUACUGGUGAGCGAUAGGUCAUCAUUUAUCAAACAAGGGAGUAUCGUUUAUCAAUGAGAAAAAUGUGUUCUAACACGAAAAUGGUUUGCACACGAUCACAUGAUCGCCUCAGACCGCGUAAGAGCGUGACACCAAAGGAAGAGGAAAAACUGCUUCGCUCUCGCUCUCUCUCGCUAUCUCUCUUCAAAAUACCAAAUCGUGCGUGUAAAUGCAAUCGAAACUAAUACAUUUUUCUCACUCCCGACUGUAAACCUACUGCUGCUGCUCCAGCUAUGCCCCUGUCCGUACGUCAACACGCACGAAGAAGCUCAGAGUUCGGAGAUUCCUGCUUUGUUGGCUGCUUUUUUCCUUCUUUUGCACAACCGUCUCUUCUAAAUCCGUCCCAAAAUCGUGUGUUCUCCGUAUGGCACCACACCUUACUCCCCCCGCUUCCCUCCCUCCCCCUACUGUCUCUUUUUAGGAUACUAGCACGGCGGCCCCAUGAUCUGCUCACGUGUUUUCCAUGAGUUUUCCCACGGAGUCGUUUCGACACACACACACACACAAACACGCAACGCAAGGGAAAUACGCUUUUUUCUUCUCCAUUUUUUGCACUCCAUUGUACGUGUGUGUGUGUACAAAUCGAGCGCUCUCCCAGGGUGCAUUUUUCCCGUGCGUUGUCCCCUCCACUGUCUGUGUGUGUGUGUGCUUCGUGUUUUGUCAUCAACGUUUCACACAGCACGCCGAACCAAGAACCACCUCUCUUCUCGCGCGCGCCCGUGUGAAUUUCAGGAGCGUUUGGAGUUUCUCGCUCAGAAUGUGUGCUCCAUCACACGCCAGGGCCGACAGGCUCGGUGUUGUCGUUUUCCCUUUUCCCCCCACAGUGGGAAAACCUUCUUCCAUCUCAGCUAAACACAUUGUCCGCUGUUGAUGGAUCUGUGUAUAUGUGUGUUUGUGUGUGUCUGUGUGAGGUGAUGCUCACACGCCAGAACCAGCGAAAAGGACCAACUCCUGGCGGAACGGGUCCCAAAACUCGUGGAGUCAGUUUCUCUUCCGUGGUUGGCCCGAACGGAACGGCACCGUGUGUGACACACGCUCCCAGGGACCAUCGUCUUGGGGCGUAAAAAAUCAUCUUACACACUCCGGAUAAAUCGCUCGUUCUCGUUCUCGUGCUCUCUCCCUCUCUCUCUCUGUCUCUGUCUCUGAGUAGGACGAGAGAGGAAGAGACACCGACAGUCGACAGUUUGGUGCAAAGAAACGCACCACAAUAUUAUCCAAUAUCCGGACAGGGGACGCACGGACCCCCGUGGUACUACACCAAAACCGGGUCUUUGCAACAACGAAAAACCCUCACAGCGACUGAAGGAAUUGGUUGUGGAAAAUUUGCACCAUCGCCACCAUUGGUCGGCCGCGUUUAGGCAGAGAGCAGGCAGCGGAUUGCAAGGGGUCGGGAAAAACAAAGCCAGCCAGCCAUCCAGCCAGCCAGCCAGGCUAAUGGACAAGCAACGAGAAUGAACAGCAGUACAGUAGCCAACACAGGCCAGCGAACAGGACACCACCUCGGGACGCACAAACAACCUUCCUUCCUUCGCGUGCGCCGUCUUCUUCGGCUGUCCCGGGGCGGGGGUUAGAAAGUAUGCAAAAUCUCAACCAUUUAGCAGUUAGCGGAUCGGUGGUUCGGUAGUGUUUAGUUGCGAUCCGUCGAGCUAGGCGGUAAGAACCCUCACAAGAAAGCGCGUCCCAAAGUCUGCUGCUGCAUUUCCAUUGUACGAUGCAUUCGUCCGCCCUUCUUCGCUCAGUGUUUGGUCAUUCCUGAAGUCAUUCCUAGUGUGUGUGUGUGUGAUUGUGCGUCUGUGUUUGUCCAUUUGUGUAGUGUUUAAGAUGGAAAUCUUGCGACUCGCGAUGCUCUGCUUCCGCGAGAGGUCGCACAAUUCUGCCCCGUCUGUGGAAACCCGUAGAUCCGAACUUGUGCUGCACUGUACAACUGGACACAAGAACGGAUAUAUGGGAUUCUGUCGACGGUUGGCCAUUCAUCGGUUGAAACAUUGAUUGUUGGACAAGUCUUGAUCGCGAGAGGCAAAGGAACAUAAAGAUAAAGAUGGUAGAAGAAGAGGUCUGGGAAAAUUCAUUUGUAGCAGAAGAGGUGUAGGAACAGAGUGAGGAAUUUCUACGGAGUUCAGGAAGAGAUCCUUAAGGCUUAGGCUUGGUUGGGAACGUUGCCGCAAUCUUCGCUUAUUCUGAGUGUUUUUGAAUUAGUUUUCGUAUGCGAAGACAAUUUUCUUUCAGCAGACUAGACCGUAGGGAUGCAAAAUAGAGGGACAGCGAGGGGAGGCGAGAAAAUAUCCAAGAGAACCUAAUACGAAGGGCACCAGUGUUCGUGUCGGUGCGUUUGUAGUGUGUUGGGCACUGGUAAAUGAGUAAGAGAUAGAUAGAGAGAGAGAGUGAUCCUUUUUCACACACAAAGAGAAUCCUUUCUUCGCGUAUGUUGGGAGCAUCCUAGCAAGCGCAGCAGAAGAGCUCCCAGAACACUCCCAAAAGCCAGCUCCAGAGCUCCAAAAAGAGUAUGAGAUAGGGAGAGAAAUGAAAAAGAGAAAGAGAGAGUCCCUUGUUCGUGUAUCCUUCGUUUUCGUCCCCAUCGCAUUCCCCAUAUUGGUAUAUGUGUGUGUGUCUGUGUGUUCAUGUGUGUCUGUGUUUCUUUGUGCCCGUGUGUGUGUGUAGUGCUUUUGGACCCUGCCCGGAGCUUUCGGGUUCCUAAGCAGCCGUAGUACAAUGUUAGAGGUAGUAAUGGCAGCAGUUCACGGAGCAUUGGAGCAAACCAAACCCGGAACCAAACCCGGAGGAACCGCGCUACAGCAGCAUAUGCAGUUUCCGGAAACGACUGGACUGGUUUUGCUGCUGCCACUCCACUUCACUCCAGUUCCACCUCAAAAGCCUUGAUCGUCGCACCGAACAACACCACACAAAGAAACUCCAGCCGGCAAUUUUCCGUAGUGUGUCUUUCUUUCUGUUAUUUAACACUCUUUUUUUCAUUUCCUUUUCUUUUGAUUAAGUGUACAAGUGUUUAAAUGUUUAAUUGUGGUCGUGUUUUAAGAACGUGCUAGUAAGUGAUGAAAAAACACUCACACACACACAUACAACAUACAGAGUUUGGUGAUGUUGAAGCUGGUAAAAGUUAUGGUUCGCCCAACGUUGUACACAUUGUGUUACAAAUAGUCUCCUCCUCGUCUACAGUGUUUCCCUUUAUUUAUUAUCCCUAUUUUCCAAUCCCUUGUUUCCCUGUUAUGUGUACUAACUACAUCUUAUGCCCACAGGCACCAUCAACGUUGUCCUUUUCCGUUCGUUUUUAUUCAACAUUGGCGGAAGUGUGUUAAGUUCCUCAAAAAGAAGAGAGAAAAACACCCAAAAUCACAGCUCGUACAGCACAAAGUUACAUUGAGAUGGUUUGAGAUAGGUUUCCAACUACAACAACCGUGACAAAGGAAUGAUCGUUCCUAUGCUCACAAAUCCCUUAAUCUCAGGUGUAUGUGUUUCUGUGUGUCUUGUACGAGCUGACGAUUCUGUGGGUGUAAUAUAACACAAUAAAAUACCACACAAAAAAACAACAAAAAAGUACAUACAAAACCAUUAACAAAAGAUAAGCAAAAUUUAACAUAAAAUAAAAAAAUUUAGCGCAAUAAAAAGAGCACACACACAAAAAAAGCAAAACAUACAAAAAAUCUGGUUAUAUUCAAAUAAAAUUUCGAAACCAA